CGAAAGAGAACCUGCACACAGGUGCUGCAUGGCUGUCGUCAGCUCGUGUCGUGAGAUUGUUGGGUUAAGUCCCGCAACGAGCGCAACCCUUGCCAUUAGUUGCUACGGAAGGGCACUCUAAUGGGACUGCCGGUGACAAACCGGAGGAAGGUGGGGAUGACGUCAAGUCCUCAUGGCCCUUAUAGGUGGGGCUACACACGUCAUACAAUGGCCGGUACAGAGGGUAGCCAACCCGCGAGGGGGAGCCAAUCCCACAAAGCCGGUCGUAGUCCGGAUCGCAGUCCGCAACUCGACUGCGUGAAGUCGGAAUCGCUAGUAAUCGCGGAUCAGCAUGUCGCGGUGAAUACGUUCCCGGGUCUU
rnacentral:rRNA from 1 species